GACGAACGCUGGCGGCGUGCUUAACACAUGCAAGUCGAGCGAAUGGAUUAAGAGCUUGCUCUUAUGAAGUUAGCGGUGGACGGGUGAGUAACACGUGGGUAACCUGCCCAUAAGACUGGGAUAACUCCGGGAAACCGGGGCUAAUACCGGAUAACAUUUUGAACCGCAUGGUUCGAAAUUGAAAGGCGGCUUCGGCUGUCACUUAUGGAUGGACCCGGGUCGCAUUAGCUAGUUGGUGAGGUAACGGCUCACCAAGGCAACGAUGCGUAGCCGACCUGAGCGGGUGAUCGGCCACACUGGGACUGAGACACGUCCCAGACUCCUACGGGAGGCAGCAGUAGGGAAUCUUCCGCAAUGGACGAAAGUCUGACGGAGCAACGCCGCGUGAGUGAUGAAGGCUUUCGGGUCGUAAAACUCUGUUGUUAGGGAAGAACAAGUGCUAGUUGAAUAAGCUGGCACCUUGACGGUACCCAACCAGAAAGCCACGGCUAACUACGUGCCAGCCGCCGCAGUAA
rnacentral:rRNA from 1 species